AGUUUGAUCCUGGCUCAGGAUGAACGCUAGCGGCAGGCUUAAUACAUGCAAGUCAAGGGGGUAGCAAUACAACCGGCGCACGGGUGAGUAACGCGUACACAACAUACCAUAUACUGGAGUAUAGCUUUGGGAAACUGAAGGUAAUCCCCCCAUAACAUUGCGAGAGGGCAUCUGAUUGCAAUUAAAGUUUCGACGGUAUAUGAUUGAUGUGCGUUUGAUUAGCUUGUUGGUAGGGUAACGGCCUACCAAGGCGACGAUCAAUAGCUGGCGUGAGAGCGCGACCAGCCACACUGGAACUGAGACACGGUCCAGACUCCUACGGGAGGCAGCAGUAGGGAAUAUUGGACAAUGGGCGAAAGCCUGAUCCAGCCAUGCCGCGUGAUAGAUGAAGGCCCUCUGGGUUGUAAAUAUCUUUUAUCUGGGAAGAAACAAUCUUAUUCUUAAGAUCUUGACGGUACCAGAGGAAUAAGCACCGGCUAACUCCGUG
rnacentral:rRNA from 1 species